rnacentral:lncRNA from 1 species
UUUCUGCGGGGGGGGCCCCCUUGGGGGCCAAGGGGGGGGGGGGGCCCGGGGCUCCCGCACGUAGAGGGCGGCGGCGCGGGACGACGCGGGCCGGCGGUCGGCGGACAAUGCGGCCGGAGGAGACCCGCGCGGCGCGAGUGGGGCCGGGCUGCGCGCGCGUGGCCGAGAAGAAACAGCAUUGAUUAGAAGAUUCCCUAUGGAACCGGGCGUGGUGGUUUACACCUGUAAUCCCAGCACUGGAGAGGUUGAGGAAGGAGGAUGCCAGCUUGGGCUACAAAGUGAGCACAAAGCCAGCCUGAACUGCAUUGUAAGAUUCUG